GUAAUGAUUGCGGACACAGGUUACUUGCAGUGCAUUUCUGAAAUGAGUGGCUUAUUUUGGGAGUUUAUUGGCACACACUGUUUGAAAGUGUGUGUGUGUGUGUGUGUGUGUGUGUGUCUGGCUGGCUGUUGCGCACUCAGUAAAAGAGUCCAGAGCCUCAACAACUCUCUGUUCCUGCUGGCUUCAGACAGACUCCACAGACCUGCGGCCGUCUGACCUUGAGCACUGAAGAGAGAAGACAAGCAAACAAACGCAGGAACAGCUCGUCCUUUCCUGAAGCACCAUGGCCUGUGUGGGAUCUUCCUGGCUGCGCUGGGGAGCGCUGCUUUCUCUCAUAUUCUGUAUGUUUGCUCAGGAGAACAGCUGGGAGUGUUUGGACAAGGACGAGAUUGUUACUGAAAUGUCCAAGGACGCUGAGAUGCCGUCUGAGUGUGUGUUGAGCUGUACAGCGCUCUCUUACAGACAGAUCGCAGACAGCCAGCAGAAACUCACGGUCCACUUCAAAGACUCGCAGCCCGGUGAGUCGGGGGACUUCUGCUGGUUUAUUCAUAGGAGAUGCAGCACAUGGGAUGAAGUUUUUGUUUUACUGUCAGUCAACGAAUCCGUUCCGAAUGGAGAAUCGAUUCAAAUUCAAACCAACUCUCCGACUCACCUGAUCCCCGUUCAGUCCCACGACUCUCCGUCCAUCAUCCCUGACGACUGCGGCCUUCGCUUCGACGUCCUGCCGCACCUGAGACACGUGACACACCUGCCGCUCUGCGUCCGGCUGACAGGCAUCAUGGGAAACCACCUACAGUGCCCACCCUUUCUGGUCAUGAUCAGGAAUAAAACCAGUCUGACCAACUCCUGAAUGAAUCUAUAAACAUUAUAAGGCACAAUGGUAAAGAUUUAGACAGAUAAACUCUUAGAGGCUGUUGCAUUUCAAUUUCAAUUCAUUUGAAUGAAUGUUUCAGUAAUAUGUGAAGUUCCAGUUUAAUAUGCUUUAAAUUUGAAGUAUACAUUUUAUUUUAAUUUGCCUUUGUAGCCUUUCUGUUUUAUUAAGCAUUUUAUAUUUAGUAAACUGAUAAAAUCAUUAGAAUGUAGUCCAUGACCCCGUUUAUUUACCGGCCUACAUACAUAUAUAUAUUUUGUUAAUAAAAAUCUGGAUGCUAAUCUCUGUGUCUUCUGUGAUUUCAUAUUAAUAUGAUAUUUUGAUUUUCAA
rnacentral:lncRNA from 1 species